rnacentral:rRNA from 1 species
GAUGAACGCUGGCGGCGUGCCUAAUACAUGCCAGUCGAGCGAACAGACGAGGAGCUUGCUCCUCUGACGUUAGCGGCGGACGGGUGAGUAACACGUGGAUAACCUACUUAUAAGACUGGGAUAACUUCGGGAAACCGGAGCUAAUACCGGAUAACAUGUUGAACCGCAUGGUUCAACAGUGAAAGACGGUCUUGCUGUCACUUAUAGAUGGAUCCGCGCCGCAUUAGCUAGUUGGUAAGGUAACGGCUUACCAAGGCAACGAUGCGUAGCCGACCUGAGAGGGUGAUCGGCCACACUGGAACUGAGACACGGUCCAGACUCCUACGGGAGGCAGCAGUAGGGAAUCUUCCGCAAUGGGCGAAAGCCUGACGGAGCAACGCCGCGUGAGUGAAGAAGGUCUUCGGAUCGUAAAACUCUGUUAUUAGGGAAGAACAAAUGUGUAAGUAACUAUGCACGUCUUGACGGUACCUAAUCAGAAAGCCACGGCUAACUACGUG